AAUGACUCCAACCUAAGUGUUUCAAAGAGAGCCUUAAUGAGUUUCCUGCACUGCUUCACUGCAGCAUUGUGAGUUAGCUCACACAUUUGCUAUUUAUUAAGUAUGUGAAUUAAGUUAAACCUCCAGAAAUACAAUGUGUAAAAAUUAUGUUUUCAGAUCUUCUCAGAAAUUAAGCAAGAACAUGGAAAUAGGCAAAAGGAUAAUUCAAGGACUAGUGGCAAAAUGAUAGCAGAGGUAGAGAGGCGAGGCAGGGGUGAGGACAUCAUCCUGCUAUUUCGACAGUCCCUGAAGGACAAUACAGAAGAGGCACACAGGACUCGACACCAUAGCAGCAAUCCUGCUCUUGCCCUACCUUUUUAAUGAGGACCCGAGUGGCCUUUACAGUAUAUCCGUGACAAGGCGGAAAUCCAUUUCACCAUAAGAGUGAAAUCCCGCUGGCCUUUGAUGGGGACAACAUGCACGCCCUACAGGACAUCCCCAUGGGACUUGGGGACUUUUUUUUCAGUUAAAUUUCCCUAAAAUGUCAGAAAAACACUUAUGUUUUAAGUUACUAUGUUCUGGGGAUAAGAGAAGUUGGGGUGAAGUUACCAGGGCGGUCAUGAAGAUGGCAAACUUCCUAACAUAACUAAGAAGUUGUUGGGCAAGUGAUUUUUGGACACACACACUAAAGCAAAAAAUGUACAAUCUGUACUUGGUGUCAAGUCCACAACAAGUUUAAGAAACCCUGCACUAGUACACUACAGAGUACAUGUAAUAUCUGCAGAAUUAUAAUGUAAUUACUAGGUGUUACACUUCAUUUUAACUAGCUAAAUCAUGUGUAUCUUGAGGGGUGCAUAAUUGUUAUUCAAUACUCCAGAAAAUAUGAGGGCAGAGCAAGCAGAGGAAAGUAUGAAUUUCAGCUUUUUCUCUGUGAGAAUCUCUGGGACCAAAGUAGUUAAGGAUUUAGUUAAGGUUAGAGUUAAGGGUCAGUUUUAGAUUUAGAUUUCGGUUAGUCAUGUUGCAGGUCAGCAGUAUCCUUAUAGUCUCUCUGUUGGUGUAGGUAAACCGUGCCCCUCCCCGACUUCACUCGUCGACUUUCGUCUACAAUCGGUUGCGUUAAAGCCUUACUUACACCCGAUGUGUUUAUUGAUCACUCUUUGGAAAUCAUCCUCAAGAGUUUCGUCAGCAACACGUGACCACGUAGGGCCCUGCGAGUUGGCAGGGGGUGAGGGGCUGGUUCGUGAUUCACAAUACAAAAACACCCUAAUGAUUGGUUGACAAAUAGUGCCUCCCACUUGCCAGGCGAUGGCUGCAUGAUCAUUUGUCAAUUUAUUGUGCCGUGGAAUCUACGUGAAAAGUAUACUGGAUUUGAAAAAAGUAAUCAACUGUUGUUUUGGGGGUUACAUUUCAGUCACAUGAUGAUGUCAUCAUGGUAACCAAUGUUCAAUAUAGACACAUUUUGUAUAACAUAUGUUGAAUUUGUAUCUUUGAAACAAUGUCAGAUCUUCAAUGUAAUAUCAACAAUAAGAAAAAAAACUAUAGGCUGGGCAGCACCUACUAUAGUUAUUUCUUCAGUCGCCCAUACAGGGUUUUAACCAAGCUUUGGUAUUUGUCAUUGACUAUUACCAAUGUGCUAUCGUGAGAAUGAUUGUUGAAAAAUCUCCACUUAAUAGAUUCACUGUUGCUAUCGAAGUCAUUCCAAAGGGUAGGAUCAACAUAGCAAAUGAAAUGUAACCAUCCUUUAUCAAUCAUGUAUAAUCAAUGAUACUAUUUAUACCUAUAUAGCAUUUGGAAAGUCAUCAAAAGCUAUUGUUUAAAAUUAGCCCAGGAUUCAACUAAAAAUAGACGAUACAUAUAAGCCUAGAGUUUCAAGCUUUGGUUGAUUUCAAAUGGAAUCUACAAGUUAUGUUGGAUUCACAUCUACAUCUCAACCAAAAAUAAAAGUUAAAAAAUAUGAUUAAAUCAAAUCAAACUGUAUUUAAAUGCAUUUUAAGUUUGAAAUGAUUUAGUCCUAUUCCUCAACUUAGAUUUUUGGUUGAAAUGGAGACGUGAAUCCAACGUAUAAUUAAAGCCAGACUCAGUGGCACAGAUGUCGCUAUCCAAGCAGAAGAUUCUUCUUCUUCAAAUGUUUAUAUUUGGUUUCGUUGACAACCAAACACAAGUUAAUAACUUUUGAGAUAAUGUAAAUAGCCUAUUAACUUGUCGACAAGUUUAAACAUUAUAUGUUGGAUACAAGUCUCCAUCUCAACCAAAAAUAAAAGUUAAAGAAUAGGAAUAAGCCAGUGCUUCAGAUGGAACUCUCCUUUAAAUGUUGAUUUGUUUUGUCAACCAAACACAAUUCUAUAUGACUUUUGUAAGACAGUAAAUAGCCUAAUGUUAAGGCUUUCUUACAAACAAAUAAAACUUUAUUUAUUCAAACUUAAAAUAAGGAACCCAUCCAUGGACACAUUGAGGUUACUGUAACAAUACAUUUAUUUUAUUUAAAUCAUAGAAAGCGUGCAUGUUCAGGGUCGCAGGUCUGUGGAAAUCUUCACAAUUGCUAUAAUAAUCUGCACAGAAUCUCAAACGGCAUUGAUCACUAGCACCAUGUACUUUAAUGUCAUCUCAACUAAUUGCAAUCCAGGUUAUUUGGUUGUGCUAUUAGAUCAAGAACAGUGAUUAAACAGUCAGUUGUACUUAAAUAAACAUUUUAGACAUUGACUUUCCAUUAGUUGUGCUUUUAGAUGGUUGAAAGCAGAGUGAUAACGCAUUGGGAAUUCAACAAACUUUUUGCUGUCUUUUUGAGUGGGUGAAAAUAGGUUGGAAUAUGAUCGAUCAACGUUUCUACCAAAUAUUACCCAAUUCAGUGUUGUGUGUUCUUUAAGUUAUUACCCAAUUCUCCACAUUGAAAUGUGUGCCCAGUGCGAAUGUUUUCAUCUUAUUAGGCUACUUCAGAAGUCUCCUGUAGGCUACUUGCACACGUUCGCCCACUCCAAUAUAAUUCCAGCUUUCAAACUGAUGAAUGGAAAGAGAUAUCCGCUACAAAACACCUAAAGGUUUAAUAACAUUCGGAUAUUGUCAAGCCAAGCCUUCGAUACUUGGUACAAGGUAGGGAAGGAUGUAUUUUGUCUUUGUCGAGAUUGACAUACAGUAGUCUAUUUGAUUGUGGUGUUGUAAACGCAAACCAUGAUUUUGAAGCGCCCAAAGUCGGUAAUCGGUAUGCAGGACUAUACUUUGCAUAUUGAUUGUUUGGUGCACUGGCGCAGAAACCUGUUGGCGAAAAAUGUGUUCGUUAUAGCCCAGUGAAAUAAAACUCUCAGUGCCGUCUACACUUACAAGAAAACUCAAACAUAUAUGUUACAUUAUUGCUCUUUCUUUAAAUGUAAUAUUUCCCUACCAGAUACCAUUCUCCGGCAUGUUUUUAACUCAAUUUGUCAUGAAAACCAGUCUCUCAUGCAAGAUUUAGCAAAUACAUUGAGUAGCUGGCCAGCACAAGUGAAAUGUUCUGGGUGCCGGAGAUGAUGAAAAUCACAACAGGGUUUCAAUGUUCAAGAAACAUAAAUCUUCACAUUUAUCAAAGUCAUGGAAAAUAAAACUUUAAACUUUGGUAACAAGUGAAUAGAUCUUGGAUGACAAGAUAAACCUCUUU